rnacentral:rRNA from 1 species
AGUGAACGCUGGCGGUAGGCCUAACACAUGCAAGUCGAACGGCAGCACAGUAAGAGCUUGCUCUUACGGGUGGCGAGUGGCGGACGGGUGAGGAAUACAUCGGAAUCUACUUUUUCGUGGGGGAUAACGUAGGGAAACUUACGCUAAUACCGCAUACGACCUACGGGUGAAAGCAGGGGAUCUUCGGACCUUGCGCGAUUGAAUGAGCCGAUGUCGGAUUAGCUAGUUGGCGGGGUAAGGCCCACCAAGGCGACGAUCCGUAGCUGGGCUGGGAGGAUGAUCAGCCACACUGGAACUGAGACACGGUCCAGACUCCUACGGGAGGCAGCAGUGGGGAAUAUUGGACAAUGGGCGCAAGCCUGAUCCAGCCAUACCGCGUGGGUGAAGAAGGCCUUCGGGUUGUAAAGCCCUUUUGUUGGGAAAGAAAAGCAGCAGGUUAAUACCCCGCUGUUCUGACGGUACCCAAAGAAUAAGCACCGGCUAACUUCGUG